GUUUCUAAAGAAGGUGAAAUUAAUGGGUUAUGCCUGGCUCCCUGUAUGCCGCAAGCAGACGACAAUCUGCCGGAGAUUGGCCGUUGCUGGUGGCGUACGAGGAGCCAAGCAUACUAUUCUUCCUUCCCUUUCUCUUUAUAUGC
rnacentral:pre_miRNA from 1 species